GACAGAGGUGCCGAGCGUUAGGCGGAAUCACUGGGCUUAAAGCGUGUGUAGGCGGAUCGGUAAGUACCUUGUGAAAUCCCACAGCUUAACUGUGGAACUGCUCGGUAUACUGCCAGUCUUGAGCCAGCUAGGGGCUACCGGAACAAAUGGUGGAGCGGUGAAAUGCGUAGAUAUCAUUUGGAACGCCAAUGGUGAAAACAGGUAGCUGGGGCUGUGCUGACGCUGAGACACGAAAGCCAGGGGAGCAAACGGG
rnacentral:rRNA from 1 species